rnacentral:rRNA from 1 species
AUUGUAGUGUGCCUUCCAGAUAAUCGUCAUACCAGAGGGACAUUGCAACAUUACAGUCUACAUUAUAACAUUGCCGUAGUCUACAUCAAGAAUUUCUGCUGUACUCAGACAGCACAAAUCGAUAACCAGAUGCUAAUUAAACCUCAAAAGGAGGUAGUAGCUAUAGGGCGCGUCUACCAAUCAGGCAAAUUAAUGGCCACAAGUGGGAUCGUGAUUGACAAACCAAGUAAGCUUGGCUGCAAAGAGCUUAAGAUUUCCACCUGUAAAAUCACCAAG